CGGCUCUCUCUCCUGCUCCCUCCCAUGGCCGGCGCUUGGCCCCCAGCUCGCCACGCCCUGGACUCCCUGGCCACCGCGCCUUUGCUCCUCCCUGCUCGGCCUCCAACGGCGGCCUCCCUGCCGACGCGCCCCCGACGCCGCGCUGAGCUCUCUGCGCCACGGUUCUCCCUCAACACGCCCCAACCGAGCUCGCCGGCUUCUCCUCCGCGCGCCUUGCUCGCCCUAUGCCGCGCGCUCCUCCCUUGCCGCGUCUCUAUGGUGCCAUACGCUGGCCGCAACUCGUAGCUUCACGCUCGUCUUCCUCCCUGAGUCCCUUUCCUAUGCUCACCAUGGCCGUCGCGCCUGCUUCCCCUACUCGGAUUUAGUCCGUGCCCUGGGCUCCCAUGGCGUGCCCGACUCCAGCUCCAGCGCGCAGCCGAACUCCCCUACGCAGCGCGUUCCUCCCUGUCUCUCCCUCCUCUGGCCAUGGAUGCUUAGGAGCAGUAGUAGCCCUAGCUCGGCAACACCAAUAGGCUCCCUGGAACCAGCACCCUGCUCCCUGUUGCCAUGAGCUCCUGCUCGGAUUCUGCCCAGCUCGCCCCUGCCUAUGUCGCGCGGGUUUCUCUGACCCCGGCGUUGUCGUUUCAGUUGACCACACCGGCUGCGCAGUGGAAGCGUGGUGGGCGCGAGGGUCGGGGACUGGCCGAUUGUCGAUCUCCUAUUUGCCUUGGACAGUGCCUCGACGCCCCAUCAUAGUAGCCCGUCGGGGAACUCUAGUGUUUGACGUUAAUUCUCGGUCGUCUUCAACUUUGUCUUGCCGUCGUCGUUCAGUCGUCCCGUCUCGAUGCCGGUCUCUACGUGAUGCCUCCGAAUUGUGAUCACGCGAACAAAAGAAUCCCCAAGAGAAGAUGUCCAAAGAUUGGAUGGUGGUGUGCGUGAAGUUCGUGUAGCACCUGCUAUGCGCUCGACAAAUUGUUUGAAUCGGAAAAUCAUUACCGAUCUCGAGGAUUCGAGUCAGCCAUUGGAACGGUAAGCUGAUUUGAUAUUCUUAUUGACUGGUCUGAUGAAUGGAUUGGUUGAAUUAGUUGUUCAUGAAGAUUGUUUUAUUCUUAGCACAGGUGCGUUGUCGAGGUAUUAGAUGUAUGUCGUGAUGCCUCGCUUCAUGCAUCAAUGGAGUGUGUACAUAAGUAUGAAGUGGUCGUGUCACGCGAAACUCAAGUUUAAAAUGAUUAUUGUGUGAGGAGUGGUUAAGUGAAUAAUAAGUUUAGUGUCUCGCUCAUAUAGCUGAU